rnacentral:misc_RNA from 1 species
AUGAGACUGGCCUGCAUAUAUUCUUUGGAGCAUACCCAAAUAUUCAGAACCUGUUUGGAGAACUUGGUAUCAAUGAUAGGUUGCAGUGGAAGGAACAUUCUAUGAUAUUUGCGAUGCCAAAUCAUCCAGGAGAGUUCAGCCGAUUUGAUUUUGCAGAAGUUCUUCCUGCACCAUUAAAUGGGAUGUGGGCAAUUCUAAAAAACAAUGAGAUGCUGACUUGGCCUGAGAAAGUGAAGUUUGCGAUUGGACUCCUGCCAGCAAUGGUUGGUGGACAGGCUUAUGUUGAGGCUCAAGAUGGUUUGACUGUUCAAGAUUGGAUGAGAAAGCAGGGAGUUCCUGAUCGAGUCACUAAAGAG